UGUAUGAUGAUAAGAUGGUAUCUGAAAGAGAAAAUAUUGUUGAAAAGCCUUCUACCAUCUCUGCUGCCUUCCUUCUGAUCAG